rnacentral:rRNA from 1 species
AGUUUGAUUCUAGCUCAGAUUGAACGCUGGCGGGAUGCUUUACACAUGCAAGUCAGUUGACGGCGGACUUCGGUCUGGUGAGUGGCGAACAGGUAGAUAAUGUAUCGGAACGUGCUAGUAGCGGGGGAUAACUACGCGAAAGCGUAACAAUACCACAUACGCCCUUCGAAGGAAAGCAGGGGACCUUCGGGCCUCGCACUAUUAGAGCGGCGUCUGGAUUAGCUAGUUGGUGGGGUAACGGCUCACCCAAGGCGAUGAUCGUAGCUGGUUUGAGAGGACGAUAGCCACACUGGGACUGAGACACGGCCCAGACUCCUACGGGAGGCAGCAGUGGGGAAUUUUGGACAAUGGGGAAACCUUCAGUCCAGCCAUCCCGCGUGUGCGAUGAAGGCCUUCGGGUUGUAAAGCACUUUUGGCAGGGAAAGAAACUGGCAGGAUAUUUCCCGUGCAACUGACGGUACCUGCAGAACAAGCACCGGCUAACUACGUGCCGGCGGCCGCGAAGUGUCGUGGGGUGCAGGCGUUAAUCAGAUUACUGGGCGUAAAGCGUGCGCAGGCGGUUCGGAAGAAGAUGUGAAAUCCAGAGCUUAACUUUGGAACUGCAUUUUUAACUACCGAGCUAGAGUGUCAGAGGAGGUGGAAUUCCGCGUGUGAAGUGAAAUGCGUAGAUAUGCGGAGGAACGCCGAUAGCGAAGGCAGCCUCCUGGAUACUGACGCUCAUGCACGAAAGCGUGGGAGCAAACAGGAUUAGAUACCCUGGUAGUCCACGCCCUAAACGAUGUCAACUAGCUGUUGGGGCCUUCGGGCAGCGGUAGCGCAGCUAACGCGUGAAGUUGACCGCCUGGGGAGAGUACGGUCGCAAGAUUAAAACGAGGAAUUGACGGGGACCCGCACAAGCGGUGGAUGAUGUGGAUUAAUUCGAUGCAACGCGAAAACCUUACCUACCCUUGACAUGUCUGGAAUCCCGAAGAGAUUUGGGAGUGCUCGCAAGAGAACCGGAACACAGGUGCUGCAUGGCUGUCGUCGGCUGUGUCGUGAGAUGUUGCAGGUUAAGUCCCGCAACGAGCGCAACCCUUGUCGUGGGUUUGCUACGAAAGGGCACUCUGUCGGCGAGACGCGAUGACAAACCGGAGGAAGGUGGGGAUGACGUCAGGUCCUCAUGGCCCUUAUGGUGCGGGCUUCACACGUCAUGUAAUGGUCGGGACAGAGGGUCGCCAACCCGCGAGGGGGAGCCAAUCCCAGAAACCCGAUCGUAGUCCGGAUAUGAUCUGCAGCUCGACUGCGUGGAAGUCGAAUCGCUAGUAAUCGCGGAUCAGCAUGUGUCGCGGUGAAUGCGUUCCCGGGUCUUGUACACACCGCCCGUCACACCAUGGGAGUGGGUUUUACCAGAAGUAGUUAGCCUAACCGUAAGGGAGGGCGAUUACCACCGGUAGGAUUCAUGACUGGGGUGAAGUCGUAACAAGCCGUAC